UUCCUUGGAAUUUACUUCAACCUCUGUGGGUUUCAUGAAGAUGAAACCGAAUUUCAGAACUCAACACUACUAGCCACUGUGGGAAUUCAAGCUUCAUGGUUCUCUAUAUACUUUUUCCUUUUCAGAUCUCCCUCAGAUGCCAUCGUAUGCAUAUGUCACACUAAAUACUGAAGCCAGUGGGAUGACAAACCAAUGAGAUAAUACAUAUUAAAGUGGUUUGAAAAGAAGACACACUAUUUUAAAGCAUGAUAUGAAAUGGUUUCCAUGUCCCCAGACCUAUCAUCCACUGCAAUGCUGGGACAUCACAAAUCAAUGGAUUCUAGAGUCCGUGCCAGCUCUGUGCAUAGCUUUACCUGUCCCUUAAUUAAAAAUAUGGAAGGAAGAGACAAGAUCUCUACUGAGACAGAUGGGAAGAAAGAAGCAUACUCCAGCAGAACUUUAAGAAAAUAAUGAGCAACUUUAAAAGACUAGCAAGAUUGUGCAGGUAAUGAAUGCUCCGGAGAUCUCUGCCUGCAGUGUGACCUUUUGUGCAUGUUUUUCCUCUCCCAGCACU